rnacentral:piRNA from 1 species
UCAAGGUUCCAAUGGAAGAUGCAAUG